GCAAGUCGAACGGUAGCAGCAGAGCUUGCUCCUGGGUUCUAGUGGCAGACGGGUGAGUAACGCGUGGGCAAUCUACCUCCGAAUAUGGAAUACCUGGCCGAAAGGCCCGUUAAUACCGUAUAACAUCCUUAGUCCUUCGGUACUUUGGAUCAAAGCUGGGGCUCUUGAAAGAGGGCCUGGCGUUUGGAGAGGAGCUCGCGUCAGAUUAGCUAGUUGGUGGGGUAAUGGCCUACCAAGGCAUCGAUCUGUAGCCGGCCUGAGAGGGUGAUC
rnacentral:rRNA from 1 species